AUGUCUGCAGACACCGCCAAGAGCCAGGUCUCCCUGCAGCUCCGCUCGCUGACAGCUGUAGACACCGCCACCUAUUACUGCUCCAGAGACACAGUGACCCAGAGUGUCCUAUCCGAGGUGCGGCUGGUCCAGUCCGGCCCCGGAGUGGCGAAGCCCGGAGAGACCCUCACCCUGACCUGUGCUGUCUCCGGGAUCUCCAUCACUGACGGCACUUACUACUGGCAAUGGAUCCGACAGGCUGUCGGGAAAGGGCUGGAAUGGAUGGGACUCCUACAUCCAAAUAGCGGGGGUACAAGUUACGCCCCGUCCCUCAAGGGCCGAGUCACCCUCUCUGCAGAUUCCUCCAAGAACCAGGUCUCCCUGCAGCUCCGCUCGCUGACAGCUGCAGACACCGCCACGUAUUACUGCACCCGAUACACAAUGACACAGAGCAAA